rnacentral:rRNA from 1 species
GACUGCAAGUCGUACGAGAAAAUUUUCUUCGGGAGAUGAGUAAAGUGGCGCACGGGUGAGUAACACGUGAGCAACCUACCUCCGGGCUGGGGAUAACUCGCCGAAAGGCGGGCUAAUACCGAAUAAUAUUCAGGGACAUCUGUUUUCUGGAUUAAAGGUGGCCUCUAUUUAUAAGCUACCACCUGGUGAUGGGCUCGCGCACCAUUAGCUAGUAGGUGGGGUAACGGCUCACCUAGGCUACGAUGGUUAGCUGGUCUGAGAGGAUGAUCAGCCACACUGGAACUGAGACACGGUCCAGACUCCUACGGGAGGCAGCAGUCGGGAAUAUUGCGCAAUGGGGGAAACCCUGACGCAGCAACGCCGCGUGGAGGAUGAAGGCCUUCGGGUUGUAAACUUCUGUCAGGUGGGAAGAAUCCCUAUAAGGUUAAUACCCUUAUAGAUUGACGGUACCAUCAGAGGAAGCCCCGGCUAACUCUGUGCCAGCAGCCGCGGUAAUACAGAGGGGGCAAGCGUUGUUCGGAAUUAUUGGGCGUAAAGGGCGUGUAGGCGGCCGAUUAAGUCAGAAGUGAAAUCCCACGGCUCAACCGUGGAACUGCUUUUGAAACUGUUCGGCUUGAGUUCGGUAGAGGAAAGCGGAAUUCCCAGUGUAGCGGUGAAAUGCGUAGAUAUUGGGAAGAACACCAGAGGCGAAGGCGGCUUUCUGGACCGAUACUGACGCUGAAACGCGAAAGCCAGGGGAGCGAACGGGAUUAGAUACCCCGGUAGUCCUGGCCGUAAACGAUGAGCGCUAGGUGUGGGAGGUAUUGACCCCUUCUGUGCCGUAGCUAACGCAUUAAGCGCUCCGCCUGGGGAGUACGGUCGCAAGGCUGAACUCAAAGGAAUUGACGGGGGCCCGCACAAGCGGUGAGCAUGGGGUUUAUUCGAUGCAACGCGAGAUCCUUACCUGGUCUUGAACUGCUAGCGCUACUCUUAGAGAUAAGGGGUUCUUCGGACGCUGCAGAGUGCUGCAUGCUGUCGUCAGCUCGUGUCGUGAGAUGUGGGUUAGUCCCGCAACGAGCGCAACCCCUUACUCUUAGUGCCAGCGAGUUAUGUCGGGCUACUCUA